UACGUAGGUGGCAAGCGUUGUCCGGAAUUAUUGGGCGUAAAGCGCACGUAGGCGGCUUUGUAAGUCGGAUGUGAAAUCCCUCGGCUUAACCAAGGAAGUGCAUCCGAAACUACAGAGCUUGAGUACUUAAGAGGAUCGCGGAAUUCCCGGUGUAGAGGUGAAAUUCGUAGAUAUCGGGAGGAACACCAGUGGCGAAGGCGGCGAUCUGGGAAGAUACUGACGCUGAGGUGCGAAAGCGUGGGGAGCAAACAGG
rnacentral:rRNA from 1 species